AAGGCUGGCUAGUCAACUGCCGAGAUGGUAUUCAAUCUCGUGUGCACAGGACUUCCGGAGUCUCCUUUUCCCGGCCCCGCCCCCUACGCUGGUUUUUCCGGUUGUCUGGGUUGCUGGGUGUGUUUUUGGACCCGGGGAUUUAAAGAAGCUUCUGGCCCUGGCUUUCAGGGGCUGCGGAUACUUAACUAUUUUUCAAGUGCCAAUCCCUGAUGGGUGCGAGCGGGUUCUGCUUCCUGGAGAGGCGGAGACGUCUCCUUAAAGAAGAAGGCACUCAUCAGCUGGGCAGGAUUUUACUUCAAUUCCGGAAAUAGGUCUGGAACGGCCUAGGCCCUAGGCUGAGGUGACCAGACGUCCCGCUUUUGGCGGGACAGUCCCGAUUUUUUACAAUUUGUCCCGCGUCCCGCGGCGUUUUAAAAAAGUCCCGAUUUUUGGAAAGAAUGCACGACAAGCUAGGGAACGGCGGGAGAACGGGAAGGGAAUAGACGGUUUUCGGCGGCCAUGUGGCUAUUUAGCCAGGAUAUGAGUUUUAUGUUAUUUUUGUUAAUUUUAUAAUGUUAAACUUUAAUAAUAACAAAUAAUUGUUGAGAACUGGUUAUCGAGAACUGCUUAUCAAAGUUCGCAUUGUUGAUCAGUUGUUAGAAUUCGACCACCCUUGUUUGGACUUAAUGAACAAUGGCAUUUUUGGGGAUUGGCAACGACGAAAACAUUUUGUAACUGUCUCUCAGACGAUACACAUCGUACUGCGUGCUAGUAAGCUAGUUAAACAAGUGAUGUCAUUACAAAUCAGCUGUUCAGAUAAUUUAGCUCUUCUUGCUGUUUAUUCUGAUGACAUCAGUUACCAUGCUGUGAGGCGCCCAGUGGAGAGGCCCAUGUGGCAAGAAACUGAAGGAGGCCUCAGGCCAAUAGCCUGUGAGAAACCAAAUCUCCCAAUACCCCUUAAGUGAGCCUGAAAGCAGAGCCUCCUGAGUGGAGUUGUGAGGUGACUGCAGCCCCAGCCAACAACUGGCCAUGACCUAGGAGAGCCUGAGCAGAGGGCUCAGCUAAGCUGCUGGAUUUCUGACCACAGAAAAUGUGUGACAAUAAAUAUUUGUUGUUUUAAACCA